rnacentral:rRNA from 1 species
GGGUCUUCAUGGCCCGACCUCCACCCUCUGUUGUUAAAACUACCUUGUUGCUUUGGCGGGACCGUCUCGGUCUCCGAGCGCACUAACCCUCGGGUUGGUGAGCGCCCGCCAGAGUCCAACCAAACUCUUGUAUUAAACCAGUCGUCUGAGUAUAAAAUUUUAAUUAAAUUAAAACUUUCAACAACGGAUCUCUUGGUUCUCGCAUCGAUGAAGAACGCAGCGAAAUGCGAUAAGUAAUGUGAAUUGCAGAAUUCAGUGAAUCAUCGAAUCUUUGAACGCACAUUGCGCCCCUUGGUAUUCCGAGGGGCAUGCCUGUUCGAGCGUCAUUACACCACUCAAGCAUCGCUUGGUAUUGGGAACGGUCCGUCGAAAGGCGGGCCUUCCUCGAAGACCUCGGCGGGGUUCAACCAACUUCGGGCGUAGUAGAGUUAAAUCGAACGUCUUAUAAGCUUGGUCGGAUCUCAUUGCCGUUAAACCUUUAAAUUUUCUAGGUUGACCUCGGAUCAGGUAGGGAUACCCGCUGAACUUAAGCAU